rnacentral:rRNA from 1 species
GAUGAACGCUGGCGGCGUGCCUAAUACAUGCAAGUCGAGCGAAGCGGGGACGGGUGAGUAACACGUGGAUAAACUCCUAUAAGAAUGGGAUAACUUCGGGAAACCGGAGCUAAAACGGAUACUUAUAGAAGGAUCAGCGCUGCAUUAGCUAGGUGGUAAGGUAAAGGCUGACCAAGGCAACGAUGCAUAGCCGACCUGAGAGUGUGAUCGGCCACACUGGAACUGAACACCGUUCCAGACCCCUACGGGAGGCAGCAGUAGGGAAUCUUCCGCAAUGGUCGAAAGCCGGACGGAGCAACGCCGCGUGAGUGAUGAAGGUCUUCGGAUCGUAAAACUCGGUUAUUAGGGAAGCGUUACCUAAUCAGAAAGCCACGGCUAACUACGUGCCAGCAGCCGCGGUAAUUC